rnacentral:rRNA from 1 species
GACGGAGGAUGCAAGCGUUAUCCGGAAUGAUUGGGCGUAAAGCGUCCGCAGGCGGCAGUUCAAGUCUGCUGUCAAAGCCCGGGGCUUAACUUCGGAAAGGCAGUGGAAACUGAACAGCUAGAGUAUGGUAGGGGCGGAGGGAAUUCCUGGUGUAGCGGUGAAAUGCGUAGAUAUCAGGAAGAACAUCGGUGGCGAAGGCGCUCUGCUGGACCAUAACUGACACUCAGGGACGAAAGCUAGGGGAGCGAAUGGG